CUCUCUUUUCUCUCUCCAUCUCAACCAUAGCCCACUCACCCACGUUUUCCCCAAUCUUCUCUUCUUCCACUUUCUUUCUUUUUGUCCAUAUUUUCUUUUUCCUUUAUUUCCUUUUCUUUCUUCUUCAUCUCGUCACGUGGCCGUCUCUCACCAUCGAUGACGCUACUACCGGUGACCCACUGCCAGCAACCCAUUAUCAGCGACACCACUACCGACGACGCUACUAUCGGCCGACAGCCAUCUCCAACACCGAUAGUCCUCUCCAUCACAUCCUCUCUCUUCUUUCCUACCCAACAUCACUCACCAUCUCUGUCAUCCUAAACCUCCCAAUCAUUGCCCUAACAGUCAUGGUUGUGCUGCUCGGUCGCCUUAGAAAAUUAUACGACAACAACCUUCCCUACCCCACAUCUACACCAAAGUCAAGUUGAACCCUUCUCGGGUUUAUUCACCUUCUUCCCUACCCAACAUCACUCACCAUCUCUGUCAUCCUAAACCUCCCAAUUGUUGCCCUAACAGUCAUGGUUGUGCUGCUCGGUCGCCUUAGAAAAUUAUACGACAACAACCUUCCCCACCCCACAUCUGCACCAAAGUCAAGUUGAACCCUUCUCGGGUUUAUUCACCUUCUUCCCUACCCAACAUCAUUCACCAUCUCUGUCAUCCUAAACCUCCUAAUUGUUGCCCUAACAGUCAUGGUUGUGCUGCUCGGUCGCCUUAGAAAAUUAUACGACAACAACCUUCCCCACCCCGCAUCUACACCAAAGUCAAGUUGAACCCUUCUCGGGUUUAUUCACCUUCUUCCCUACCCAACAUCACUCACCAUCUCUGUCAUCCUAAACCUCCCAAUUGUUGCCCUAACAGUCAUGGUUGUGCUGCUCGGUCGCCUUAGAAAAUUAUACGACAACAACCUUCCCCACCCCCACAUCUACACCAAAGUCAAGUUGAACCAUUCUCGGGUUUAUUCACCUUCUUCCCUACCCAACAUCACUCACCAUCUCUGUCAUCCUAAACCUCCCAAUUGUUGCCCUAACAGUCAUGGUUGUGCUGCUCGGUCGCCUUAGAAAAUUAUACGACAACAACCUUCCCCACCCCCACAUCUACACCAAAGUCAAGUUGAACCAUUCUCGGGUUUAUUCACCUUCUUCCCUACCCAACAUCACUCACCAUCUCUGUCAUCCUAAACCUCCCCAAUCGUUGCCCUAACAGUCAUGGUUGUGCUGCUCAGUCGCCUUAGAAAAUUAUACGACAACAACCUUCCCGUUCCCACAUCUACACCAAAGUUAAGUUGAACCCUUCUCGGGUUGAUUCGCCUAGAAAUGUCUUUCUUUUUGUUGUUGCUGAGAACGGGAAAAGAGGUGUGGUGUUGAUUGGGAGGAGGAGGACGACUCUUGAGACUUUUUGUAAUCUUCUUUGCGUUUCCUAUGAUAUUUGUGAGAGGGUUGAGGGUUUUUUUUUUAUAGUAUUUUUUAGCUUCAUUUUGAAAGUUUUUGGAGGGUCAUUACUUUUAUUGGACUGCACUUUUAAGGUUACUCCUACGUCCUUGUCCUUCAAGUUUUAUUGUAUACAUUCAUUUCAUUUCAGUUUUCUUCUUAUGUACAUGUGAAUGUAUCAUUCGUGUUUAGAUUUUUUAUUGUAUAUGUAUAUUUAAUUUGUGAUUCAUGGAUUAAUUUUUGUUUCCAUUUAUUUGUUAUCCUUAUUUAAUA